rnacentral:rRNA from 1 species
GACGAACGCUAGCGGCGCGCUUAACACAUGCAAGUCGAACGGAAAGGCCUGCUUUCCCUUGUGGAUUGCGGGUACUCGAGUGGCGAACGGGUGAGUAACACGUGAGUGAUCUGCCCCCAACUUGGGUAUAAGCCUGGGAAACUGGGUCUAAUUCCCGAUAGGACUGCAGGGUGGUGCCUGUGGUGGAAAACGAUUUUCUAGUGGUUGGGGAUGAGCUCGCGGCCUAUCAGCUUGUUGGUGGGGUAAUGGCCUACCAAGGCGGCGACGGGUAGCCGGCCUGAGAGGGUGGACGGCCACAUUGGGACUGAGAUACGGCCCAGACUCCUACGGGAGGCAGCAGUGGGGAAUAUUGCACAAUGGGCGGAAGCCUGAUGCAGCGACGCCGCGUGGGGGAUGACGGCCUUCGGGUUGUAAACUCCUUUCGACCGCGAGGAAGCCACCUGGUUGGAAGGGUGGUGACGGUAGUGGUAGAAGAAGCACCGGCUAACUACGUG